UCCCCGUUACCGGGGCAGUCUGACUAGAAAAAUCCAACUAGCCAUAAGGGUUGCGCUCGUUGAUGGACUUAACCAAACAUCUCACGACACGAGCUGAAGACGGCCAUGCAUCACCUGUCACUGCUUGCCCCGUACUCAUUUCGACAACGUCCAAUAUCAUCACUGUUAUUGGUGUCAAAACGACUACGGGGCACGUUUUCCUUUCGGAAAACUUGGCAGGAUGUCAAACCCUGGUAAGGUUCUUCGCUUAUCAUCGAAUUAAACAACACGCUCCACCGCUUGUGCGGGUCCCCGUCAAUUCCUUUGAGUUUUAAUCUUGCGACCGUACUCCUCAGGCGGGAUGCUUAACGCGUUAGCUUCGCUACUGACCGGGUCGAUACGGCCAACAGCUAGCAUCCAU
rnacentral:misc_RNA from 1 species